rnacentral:rRNA from 1 species
UAAUACGGAGGGUGCAAGCGUUAUCCGGAAUCAUUGGGUUUAAAGGGUCCGUAGGCGGACUAAUAAGUCAGGGGUGAAAUACCACAGCUCAACUGUGGAACUGCCUUUGAUACUGUUAGUCUUGAAUUAUAUGGAAGUAGAUAGAAUGUGUAGUGUAGCGGUGAAAUGCUUAGAGAUUACACAGAAUACCGAUUGCGAAGGCAGUCUACUACGUAUAUAUUGACGCUAAUGGACGAAAGCGUGGGGAGCGAACAGGAUUAGAUACCCUGGUAGUCCACGCCGUAAACGAUGGACACUAGUUGUUGGAUUUAUUCAGUGACUAAGCGAAAGUGAUAAGUGUCCCACCUGGGGAGUACGAACGCAAGUUUG